UAUAGCAUCAAUAAGGGGU
rnacentral:siRNA from 1 species